rnacentral:sRNA from 1 species
CCCGCUUGGCAGCUAAUAAUUACUGUUAAACAAUAAAAGUAACAAAGGAAUACACACAUAAAUCUCCGUUAUGGAGAGAUAUUGUCCGCUCUUAACUAAUCUCUCAUUUGCUUUUGGUAUCACUUUAAAAGUAUUUUAUCUUUAUAUAAACUCAUGUUCGUCUUUUGUUUUAUCAACAUGACUUUUUGUUAUUAUCAUAACAAUUACCAUGUCUAAAAUCUAUGUUCUCGAGUCCUGGGAACUCUUGGUUUAGUUGAAUUCUUCUCUUAUAUUUCAGGUCAUGUUUUAAUUAUUUAUAGAGAGAACCAAGAAAGCAGAAUUCUGGUUUUCCACUUAGAACUAUAACCUUUAUUUUUUUUCUUGAGAAGGAC